UUUUUUUUUUUUUUUCCCCCUGGCUGCACCUGCAGCAUGCAGGAAUUCCCCCGCCAGGGAUCAAACCAGAGCCAAAGCAGCAACCCGAGCCACGGCAGUGACAAUGCUGGAUCCUUAACCUACUAGGCCACCAGGGAGCUCCUCUGGAACCCAACUCUUAACCACUGUGGUUAAGGUCUCUGCUGUAGAGAAAUUUGGUCAUAUGAGUGAUGAUGCUGAUGCUGAUACUCCAGCCUUAGUAUGUAAAGAUCACAAAGCCAGCAAAAGCAAUAAAUAAACCUGGGAUCACAACGAAGCAAAAGUAAUAAAUAAGCCCGGGACAACAAUGAGCCUCCCGAAUUUAGACAGAAGAGGAGCUGGAGGCAGUAAUGCAGUAAGACAAAGAACACUGGGAGACUGUCUAACAGUAGUUUGCAAAACUAACACAUUUUUUGUCUGGAUUGCAGGUCAAUGGGGGGUGGCUCAGUGCCCACAGAACCACUGCUGGGUACCGUAACUCUGGAGCAUCAGGCUCAUCACUACGCUGAAUGUCUCCUUUCAAGGUGCCGCCGAGACACUCUCAGUUUGCGCAGAAAGCAAGCUGAGGCUCAGAGAAGUGAAGUGACUUGCCCAAGGUCACGCAGGUAGGAAGUAACAUUUGAACGGAGCCUCUGACCCGCAAGCCCAGACCCUGGCCCUCUGGCUCUGGCCCCCUCGCUUUGGGGACAGGAGCUGCCCGGAAGCCCAGAGGGACAAGCCUGGCUGGCCUGCCCGUUCCCGCCAAGGCGGCCCCCCCUCGGCCUGCCACAGGACCCGGAACCCCAUCACUUCAAAGUGAUUCACUCUCGAGGGCUGUGCGGUCUGGUCCGGGCCUGAGCCAUGCUCACUCCUGGCCACCCAAGCUCAAGCCUAUUCCCCGGGACCUCAGGAAUCCAGGUGCAGCUCCCAGCGACCACCCGGUGGAAGCAGCCCUCCUUGGGGGGUGGGCUGGGGCUCCCAGGCACAGAUGCUGGGGGUGACGAGGGGUACCCCACGUCAGCUCCUGCGCCCGGCUGCUCAGCCCGCCUUGCCUCUCUCUCCCCAGCCGGGCCCGGCNNNNNNNNNNNNNNNNNNNNNNNNNNNNNNNNNNNNNNNNNNNNNNNNNNNNNNGGCCCCCGCGCCCCCCCCCCUGGAACCCUCCAACAUGCGCAUCUCCUGCCCUGGGUCCUGGACCCCAGCGGGGGAGGCUGGAAUGUGCGAUGCCUGAGGUCACAGCCCCAGCUUGAUUUGAGUUGGGUUGAGAUGAGGGGAAAAUGGCCAAGAACAACUCGCUCAUUUACUUCAUUUCCAGACUUGGCGGCUGCCGGGGCUGGGCUUCCAAACCAAGCUGGCUUUGGCCAGGACGUCUGCAGCAGCGCCGGCCACAAGGCACAUCUGGAUCCGCUUAGGGAGCUAAGAGCCAUAAAGUUCUCUUAAGAAAUUAGUUCCUAGGGAGCCUGGGUCUCUGGGGACUGUGUGAGGGCCCCCUUGGUUUAAGGACACUCGGAAACCCUCUACCUGGGCUGGUGGGCCGAGUCACCGUGUGUGCUUGAGAAGGCUCGCAGGCCCAGCCCGGGCACUUCCGGCUGUGUGGCCUCGGGCACUUCUCCUGACCUCUCUGGGCUGCUGGGCAAAUGAUCUCACCUCUCCUGGAGGAGAACGAGCUCGAAGAGAACCCAAGUGCAGUUUCCUAAUCGGCCCUGUGUGCUGGGGCCUGGCCAGUAUCGGCCCACACAUGGGCAAAUGGGCGAGGGAGCCCAGAAUAAACGACUCAGGUUCAGCAUCCGUCACGGCCUGAGCCCUGGGAAAACCUGAACAUCCUGAGAAACCCGACCGCAGCCUCGUUCUCUGUCUCAGCCCCACGCACGCAGAGUCUGACACAAGCAUUCACUGUGACCAGGCAGGUGGUGAGCGUGUGACCUGACAUGCAGAGACCACAGGGUAACAGCCCUGAGCAUGGCCUUGGCUGAGCCCCCUUCAGCCUGCCAGGCACAGAGUCAGGUUCACGCCCAGCACCGCACCCCGGCAGCAGGCCUGGGAGCCCAGGGCCAUUAGCCCCCGUGACACAGGCUGAGAGCAGUGGGGUGACUCAGAGCAGUGGGGUGACUGGGGAGGAAGUGGCCGGGUCCAGACAGAGCCCACGGCUCCCGCUGUCAUUCAUCAGCAACACCCCUGUGGCAACCUCUCUUUGCUUGACGUCCCCAUCGGCACUGGGGCAACCAGUUUCAUCAGCUGCCGGGGUUUGUUUGUUUCCUACCCGUGUAAAAUAGCACCCACGUAAUUCCACAAACCCCCAAAUUCUCAAAAAUGUUCUGCGUAGUUGAAGUGCUCGGCGAAGGACGAAUCGUAUUAUCGCUUCCACCGUCUGUCUAAACCUAGAGCGGAAAUAAGAAAGCCAUGGGUUCCCCUUGUGUCCAAAGCAAAGAGCAGAGACUGUGGUUGGAAUGAUCUGGAACCUUCUAAGCCACCUGGAGAGGGAGUGGAGCCGCCACUCUGGAUGCACAUUAAAAUCCUUGGGCGGGGGUGUUUACAAACGCUGGCGUCCAGCAAAAACCAACCUCUUCCAAGGGCUCGGCUAAUCUGCAUCUCUAUGAACAAGAACCGUCUACAUCAGGUGGACAGUAGUUGUAAAAGAGCCCCAAGACGAUGGAAGGGAGAAAAGAGCUCAGAUGCGUGAGCGAGGCAAGACACCCAGGAAUCCUUCCCCACCCAUUUCAAAGUCAUUUACAAUAUCUCUUGACAGACAUGAUCUCAGAAAAAGACGGCUGUAGAACGUACUACAGUCGGGGAAUGUAGAAACAACUCAAGUGUCUGUCGUAGGAAACCAUCCUGGCACCUGCGUGCGACAGACUUCUCGGCAGCUAUUAAAGUAGGUGAUGUCAUAACAAACACCGAGGCCUGGGCCCCGCCCCACUUCUCGGGAAUCCCAGACUCUGGGGCGGGGCCCGGGCAUCAGCCCUGGCUCCCAAACUCCCAGAAGUGCAGCCCAGGAUGGGAGCUGCUGCCUUGGACGGAAGGGGAGGUCUUGGGGGCCGCCCGCAGGCAGGAGGGGAGGGAAGCAGGGGUGGCUGAGUAGAGGGCACUCCCGGGAGGGGACCCAGAAAUGAAAUGAGGAAGCCACGGGUCAACUGAAGGCAGCCUGGGGCUGAGAAGCAGAAGGAAGCCCUGUCCAGAGCCCGACCCGGUAUUCCACUCAAGGGUCUGCAGAGGUCAUCUCUGGUGGUCCUCCCCCAGGCGCUCUGGGGAGACACCCCACAGGCUCGCUCCUCCCCACCGCCAGCUGCACCUGGACCAGGCAGAGGGGAACUGGUCUCCACUGUGAGGGUUUUUAGGGCCUCUUCACUGUUCGCCACCAGAGUCAAGGUGGACUUGCACCCCCUCCAGGAGGCCCUCAGGGAGGGGGGGGCCAUGGCGAGGGUGCCCCCCGAAAACCCUGGCUCAGGCAGGGCCUGCUGAGCACCGCCCAGCAGGGUCUGCUUCUUCACCCACAGAACUUCUCCCCAGGCUGGCAAGGGCAACUGCACGGCUCCCAGUGCUAUUUCGCCUAAACCACGGGCCAGAAGGAAGGGGACCAGCAGGGCCCCCACGGGAAAGGUGGCUUCCACCAGGCGGGCCUCCAAGCUGACCUGGGGCCAUCUGCGGAAAAGGAUGACAUCGGACUAAGACUGCAAUUAUUCUGACUUGUUUUCGUGCUUUCUGUACAGCUCCACAGAAGAAGACAGACAAAGAGCCUGCCUGUUGCGUUCACCACCACACCUCAGGUCUAGCAGAAAACCGCGCUCGUAGUAGGUGUGCAACAAACAUUAACCAACCCAGUACCCUUGACCCGCAGAACUGAGCUCGACCGGAUGCUACCUGACACGAGAUGCCAGUGGAAGCGCGUAAGGAGAAACUCUAACAGGUGGCAACUAUGGAAUGCAGACAAUUCUCUCUCCAGGCCUGGAUUUGGAGAAAGAUCCCCUUUAUUUGCCAGAGAGAUAACGCUCUACAGGAGAAGUUGCGAAAUUCUGGAAGCAGAGUUUGUAAACCACUGUGCUGUAUAAAUAGCAAAAGCCAUAUGUGACCGGUGGCGAGGCUGGCUGGAGGAGGGGACGGCUGGGUGAAGUCCCCAAAGCAGACUGCAGGUGAGGCUGGGCGCUGGGCUCAGUGCGGCAGGGCCUGCGUGGGCCAGCCGUGUCCACAGAGGAGAGUGGGAGGGAGGCAGCCAGGCCUUUGAGAGCUGCCAUGUGCUUGGACGCUUGCUCCAGCGCAGCUCCUCCUCCCUCAGAGUCAAAGCCAGAGCUCCCAUGAGGCCCUACACCAUGUGGCCCCUCAGUGACUCACUGACUUCAACUCUGAGCACGCUCCACCUCCACCACAGUGACCUCCUUGCAUUACUAGGAAGCCAAGCUCCUACCCCAGGGCCUUUGCAUGUGCUCAGAUAACUGCAUGGCUUCCUCCCUCACUUCCUUCAGGUCUCUGUCCCAGUGUCACCUCAUCCAGAUCUUCCUUGACGCCCUUAUUCAAAGCACCACCAAACAAAGACCCCUCCCCACUCAGACCAGCACUCUCUGUCCACUUUAUCCCGCUAGACUUUUCUUCACGGAAUUUAUGAGCAGCUGACAGGAUUCUCUACUUCCUGUUCUUUCUUUCUUCCCAGGGUGGCCCAGGGAUCAGCUCUGCUCUGUGCCUUGAACAGUGCCUGGCACACGGCGGACGCUCCAGCCACACCUGCCAAAUGAAGGGGUGGGCAAGCAGCUCUGCUCAUCCCAUGAUUCCCCUCAUCUGGUGCCUCCUCAGGGGUGACCCUGUGAGACAGGCACCGUCUCUCUCCCAGUUUACAUUAGAAUGGGCUCAGUUUAGAAUGGACUGGAGCCUGGAGCCACCCAGCUCUGCCGACUCCAAAACCCAGGUGUGUCCCUUCCCACAGAAGUAGACGGUGCAGCACGUGACCCCAUGGAGCCAAGUGCCCUCCUGUCCCGGAGAUGGCUGGCACCUGCAGGACCCUGAUCCUCCCAGCUCUCCAUUUUCCUGCCCAAAGGCUCCUGCGUGGGGGCAGGGCUUGUCCUCCAGGUGCCGCCCUCCUGGGACCCGGGAGCUCUGCAGGAGCCACUCGGGGUGUCCAACUCCCAGUGCACACGGUGGCCCCCACAUCGUCCUGCCGGCCUCUCCUGCUCACUGCCCACCGCUCCCAGCCCUCCCUCCAGGGCCCUGGAUGCCCAGCAGCCCUCCUCUCUCUCAGCUCCAGGCCUAGGCCAGCCCGAUGGCCUCAAGGAGGUCCUCGUCCUAAACCCUGCAACCUGUGACAAGGUCCCCUCACGUGGGAAACGGAACUCUGCAGGAUUCUGGACCGAGGCCCCGGUGAACUUGCGUGGCCCCAAUGCCAUCACAGGAGUCCUUUUAAGAGGGAGGCAGGAGGCUUAGAGUCAGAGAAGAUGUGACAACAGAAGUAGAGGCAGGUGUGAUGCUGCCGUGAACCAGAACAUCCAAGCAGCCUCUAGAAACUGGGAAAGGCAGGGAACAGAUUCCUCCCUGAAGCUUGUAGAAGGAAUGCAGCACCUUGAUUUUAGCCCCCAGGAGACCCAGUUUUGGACUUCUGACCUCCAUAAGGGUAAAUGAUAAAUGUGUUCUAUCUUAAGCCACCAAGUUUGUGGUAAUUUGUCAGAGCAGCUGCAGGAAACUAACGCUCCGCCCCCCGCACCUUCAGCUCGAGGAGGGCGCCCGGCCCCCGUGUGGUCUGAACCCACGCAGGUGCCCCCAGGACUUCCCCUUUCACAACUAUCCACUGCAGUUGGGAGCCCCUGCAACUGCUGCCUCCACCUCUCACAAGCUAUCCAGCCGUGGAAAUGUUUCCCAGCCCCUCUGUGCUACCUUCCACCCAGAGGGCCAUCGCCUACAACUGCCUUGAGGCUGGAAGAAAGAGCCCACAGAGCCCAGGCCCGGCUCGCUCAACUGAGGGUUUGCCGCUAUGAUCAAUAUUUUGCAAAGAAGUCAGGCCCGUGGAGAAUGGAGACUGUGCCCACUCUGUCCACCAUGGAUGCCCAGAGCCCCCAACGGUGCCAGGCCAUCAGGUCUGAGCACCGUCUGUUGGAUGAAUGAAUGAAUGAGUGAGGCCCACCACAUCCAGAGAUCUCAAACACAAACCAUCAUGUGACACAAUGCUCCUUGAAGGAAGAGUUCCCGUCGUGGUGCAGUGGUUAACGAAUCCGACUAGGAACCAUGAGGUUGCAGGUUCGAUCCCUGGCCGCGCUCAGUGGGUUAAGGAUCCAGCAUUGCCGUGAGCUUUGGUGUAGGUCACAGACGCGGCUCAGAUCUGGCGUUGCUGUAGCUGCGGUGUAGGCCAGUGGCUAAGCUCUGGUUAGACUCCUAACCUGGGAACCUCCACAUGCC
ensembl:lncRNA